rnacentral:lncRNA from 1 species
CACAAACGUUUAGUCCAUAGCAACGUAAAAUUGGGAAACACUGCUCUAAUUUUAACCCUUCUCCCCUACCCUAGGACACACUUUGACCUCCUGGAGCACCCUGAACCCCAUGGCAGUCCUAACCUAGCAAGACCCAGUGACAUGCAGUCAGCUUGGACUCACAAGAGAACACUGAAUUACAAUGCAUCCUGCUGCCUGGGGUACCCAUUCUGGCCCUGUCAGGUCCUUGAAUGCUGAGGGCACUGAGGAUGCAUUCACUCUCCAGGACACACAGACCCUCCAAGAGGCUCUGACCUCUGUACCUUACACUCAGCACAACAUCUUGGGCUCACAAUCACUCUGUGACCCUCUAAGUCACCCAGACCAUGAGGACAUGGUGAGAUUUGGGAAAUUCUAACCUUUUAAGGAAUUCCUGACCUUACAGAAUCUAGACCGUCAAGGGCAUCUUGUCUUCCUGCCUGUUCAGAGCCCCCAAUUUGCUUGAAUCUUGCAAAGUGCUGUUGACACUGAAAAACCACUCAACAUGCCAACCCCAACCCAGGAAAUACCCUGACCACACUAGCCUGAUCCAUAGGAUAUUUUGACGAAGAAAAGACAUAUCCAGGUCUCCCAAAGCACUCUGACCAUCCAACAUGCCUUUGACACAGGGGAUGUCUUAAUGCCAGGGCUCUCCAACCUUCCAGUGUACUCUGGUUGUCUCAGCCCUAGAGUUGUCAGUAGGCACCCUAGUCACUGUCACUCUCCCACUCUCCCAAUACACAGACAGCCCAGCACAGCUUCAACACACUAGGACCCCCUGAAUCCAAAAGGUGAUUAUUCUAACUCUUGAGAUUCUGUCCUCUCAAGGCAACUAUUCCCUGCAAGACCCUCUGUAGAAUACACAUUCCCAGAACUACCGGAACAUCUUCACCUCUACCAUACUCUCACCCCUCUGUAGAAUACACAUCCCAGAACUGCCAGGACACCUUCACUCUGCCAUACUGUCACCCCUCUGUAGAAUACACAUUCCCAGAACUGCCAGGACAUCUUCACUUCUGCCAUACUCUCACCCCUCUGUAGAAUACACAUCCCAGAACUGCCAGGACACCUUCAUUCUGCCAUACUCUCACCCCUCUGUAGAAUACACAUCCCAGAACUGCCAGGACACCUCCACUCUGCCAUACUCUCACCCCUCUGUAGAAUACACAUCCCAGAACUGCCAGGACACCUUCACUUCUGCCAUACUCUCACCCCUCUGUAGAAUACACAUCCCAGAACUGCCAGGACACCUUCACUCUGCCAUACUCUCACCCGUCUGUAGAAUACACAUCCCAGAACUGCCAGGACACCUUCACUCUGCCAUACUCUCACCCGUCUGUAGAAUACACAUCCCAGAACUGCCAGGACACCUUCACUCUGCCAUACUCUCACCCGUCUGUAGAAUACACAUCCCAGAACUGCCAGGACACCUUCACUCUGCCAUACUCUCACCCCUGCCUAGCACACUGUGCUCAUCCAGGACCCUCUGAUUUCCUGAAAAUGCUUUGAUUGCACAAGAAUACCUUGGCACUCUACUCCAUGACAGAUCCAUUCAAGUCUACCCAAACCUUCAAGGACCACCUGAGCUCCAGAAAACCUUGAUCUCCCGCAUUCAAAUACCAAAAGUAUAUGCUGACCUACCUGAAAACCUUCACAGCUCUGGACUCCCAGAACAUCCAGGAGCCUCUGAAUCACGCAGCCAGACCAACCUCCAAAACAUCCUAACUCCAUGCAAGUGGUGUGAUCUUCCAGGACAGUCUGACCUCGAAGCUGGUGAUGUUGUAAGGAUACUUCAAGUGUUCUGACAUGAUGAAAAUGCCUGUAGGCCCAGAACACCUGCCUGCCCUGACGCCCUGUCUCUCCAAUACCCCUGCCUUCCCAAUACCCCUGCCUUCCCAAGAUGCUCCAAGUCUCCCAGACUCUCUGACUUUCACCAUUAAGAUCUCAUCUGAUCCUAUGUGAUCUCUUUGGAUCCUCUUAACACCCUGUUCCCCAGGGUCCUCUGACCUUUUAAAAUCCUACAAGAUGCCGGGCACGGUGGCUCACGCCUGUAAUCCCAGCACUUUGGGAGGCUGAGGCAGGCAGAUAGCUUGAGAU